AUUGAACGCUGGCGGCUUGCUUUGCACAUGCAAGUCGAACGGCAGCGGGGAGGAGCUUGCUUCUCUGCCGGCGAGUGGCGCACGGGUGAGUAAUACAUCGGAACGUGUCGAGAAGAGGGGGAUAACCACCCGAAAGGGUGGCUAAUACCGCAUAAAUUCUGAGGAAGAAAGCUGGGGACCUAGGCAUAGGCCUCGCGCUUUUUGAGCGGCCGAUGUCGGAUUAGCUAGUUGGUGAGGUAAAGGCUCACCAAGGCGAAGAUCUGUAGCGGGUCUGAGAGGAUGAUCCGCCACACUGGGACUGAGACACGGCCCAGACUCCUACGGGAGGCAGCAGUGGGGAAUUUUGGACAAUGGGGGCAACCCUGAUCCAGCCAUGCCGCGUGUAUGAAGAAGGCCUUAGGGUUGUAAAGUACUUUUGUUAGGGAAGAAAAGUCAGCUGUGAAUAAUGGCUGAUACUGACGGUACCUAAAGAAUAAGCACCGGCUAACUACGUG
rnacentral:rRNA from 1 species